rnacentral:rRNA from 1 species
CGAAUGGGGAAACCCAACUGCAUAAGCAGUUACUGUUAACUGAAUACAUAGGUUAACAGAGCAAACCGGGGGAACUGAAACAUCUAAGUACCCCGAGGAGAAGAAAUCAACCGAGAUUCCGGUAGUAGCGGCGAGCGAACCUGGAUUAGCCCUUAAGCACUCGGUGAAGUAGGUGAACAAGCUGGAAAGCUUGGCGAUACAGGGUGAUAGCCCCGUAACCGACGCUUCAUCGAGCGUGAAAUCGAGUAGGGCGGGACACGUGAUAUCCUGUCUGAACAUGGGGGGACCAUCCUCCAAGGCUAAAUACUCCUGACUGACCGAUAGUGAACCAGUACCGUGAGGGAAAGGCGAAAAGAACCCCUGUGAGGGGAGUGAAAUAGAACCUGAAACCGUGUACGUACAAGCAGUAGGAGCACCUUCGUGGUGUGACUGCGUACCUUUUGUAUAAUGGGUCAGCGACUUAUAUUCAGUGGCAAGGUUAACCGUAUAGGGGAGCCGUAGCGAAAGCGAGUCUUAACUGGGCGCUCAGUCUCUGGAUAUAGACCCGAAACCGGGUGAUCUAGCCAUGGGCAGGUUGAAGGUUGAGUAACAUCAACUGGAGGACCGAACCGACUAAUGUUGAAAAAUUAGCGGAUGACUUGUGGCUAGGGGUGAAAGGCCAAUCAAACUCGGAGAUAGCUGGUUCUCCCCGAAAGCUAUUUAGGUAGCGCCUCGGACGAAUACUACUGGGGGUAGAGCACUGUUAAGGCUAGGGGGUCAUCCCGACUUACCAACCCUUUGCAAACUCCGAAUACCAGUAAGUACUAUCCGGGAGACACACGGCGGGUGCUAACGUCCGUCGUGGAGAGGGAAACAACCCAGACCGCCAGCUAAGGUCCCAAAGUAUUGCUAAGUGGGAAACGAUGUGGGAAGGCUCAGACAGCUAGGAUGUUGGCUUAGAAGCAGCCAUCAUUUAAAGAAAGCGUAAUAGCUCACUAGUCGAGUCGGCCUGCGCGGAAGAUGUAACGGGGCUAAGCA